GACGAACGCUGGCGGCGUGCUUAACACAUGCAAGUCGAACGGUGAACCUCUUUGGAGGGGAUCAGUUGCGCACGGGUGAGUAACACGUGGGCAACCUGACCCCGGCUCUGGGAUAACUCCAAGAAAUUGGGGCUAAUACCGUACGUUCACCGCUUCCCGCCUGGGUGGUGGUGAAAUGGGUUUCCGGCUGGGGAUGGGCCCGAGGCCUAUCAGCUCGUUGGUGGGGUAGUGGCCUACCAAGGCGACGCCGGGUAGCCGGCCUGUGAGGGUGCACGGCCACACGGGGACUGAGGCAGGGCCCAGACUGCUACGGGAGGCAGCAGGGGGGAAUAUGGCGCAGUGGGCGGAAGCCUGACGCAGCGACGCCGCGUGCGGAAUGACGGCCUUCGGGUGGUAAACCUCUUUCAGCAGGGACGAAGCGCAAGUGACGGUACCUGCAGAAGAAGCACCGGCCAACUACGUG
rnacentral:rRNA from 1 species